rnacentral:rRNA from 1 species
UACGUAGGGUGCAAGCGGUAAUCGGAAUUACUGGGCGUAAAGCGUGCGCAGGCGGGUAGGUUAGACAGAGGUGAAAUCCCCGGGCGCAAACUCGGAACUGCCUUUGUGACUGCAUAGCUGGAGUACGGCAGCGGGGGAUGGAAUUCCGCGUGUAGCAGUGAAAUGCGUAGAUAUGCGGAGGAACACCGAUGGCGAAGGCAAUCCCCUGGGCCUGUACUGACGCUCAUGCACGAAAGCGUGGGGGGCAAACAGG